ACAAUUUGAGGUAGCUGUAGAGGCCAUUGCACAGUAUGGUACGGGGUUCAAACCCCCUAGUUUCCAUGAGCUACGAGAACCUUUGCUCGCGAAGGCUGUCAAAGAGAUAUACAGUGAGAAGAAGAAGCAUGAGGAUGCAUGGAGUCAAUAUGGUUGCACCCUCAUGUCAGAUGGAUGGACAGACAGGAGGGGUCGACAUUUGAUCAACUUCCUAGUUAACAGCCCUGCAGGUACAUUCUUUUUAGAAUCAGUGGAUGCAUCGAGUGAGUCUCAUGAUGCGUUGAUGCUUGCAGAGCUACUAGAUAAGAGAAUUGAGCAGAUUGGCAGGGAUAAGGUCAUACAGGUUGUAACUGACAAUGGUGCCAACUACAAGGCUGCAGGGCGCAUUUUGGUUCAGAACACCCCUACCUUGUUUUGGACCCCUUGUGCUGCUCACUGCUUAGACCUUAUGCUGGAGGACAUAGGAAAACUAAAGGAUUUUAAGAAGCCUAUUGCACGUGCUCGUCAUGUCACAACAUUCAUAUAUAGACAUGGGAGGAUUCUUAGUGAGAUGAGGGUGCAUACAAAAGGUAUGGAUCUUGUGAGGCCUGCUGCUACUAGAUUUGCUACUGCAUUCCUCACCUUGAGGAGUAUACAUAAGCACAAGGAUCCAUUGAGAGCAUUAUUUUCUGGUGAUGUUUUCACUCGCUCCAAAGUAUCUAAAACAGAAGCAGGGAAAAAAGUAUAUAGCAUUGUUUUCUCAACAGAGUUUUGGCAUUCAGUUGAGGACUGCCUUAGAGCUUCUUUACCACUACUUGUUGUGCUCAGAUUGGUUGACGGUGAUGAGAAGCCAGCCAUGCCUGAGGUGGCAGCAGCUAUGAAGAUAGCAAAGCAAAAGAUUACUUCAUCAUUCUCUAUUCAAAGCAAGAAAGCUUGUCUAAACCGCAUCAUGAAAAUUGUUGACAACCGUUGGGUGAAACAAAUGGACACUCCGUUGUAUGGAGCAGCACUCUACUUGAACCCUGGGAAAUUCUAUAGCAUGAAGCAAAGUGAUGAUGAAGGCUAUGUUGGAGAGCUAAGGGGUUGCUUCAAUGAUGUACUUGUUAAAAUGGUGCUAGAUGAGGACCUUAGAGACAAAAUUGAUGCUCAGGCAGUCCUUUAUGAGAACCAAAGAGAAGCAUUUGCAAACCCAAUGGCUAUUAAAAAUGCUCAAACAAGAAACCCACGUGAGUAUUCUAAAAGUACCACCACUUUAAUUGUUACUUUCAGCAUUCAUAAAUCCAACCUUAUUUGUCAUUUCAGUUGAU
rnacentral:lncRNA from 1 species